CAGAGAAGAUUAGCAUGGCCCCUGAGCAAGGAUGACAUGUAAAUUUGGAAGUGUUGUAUAUUUUU
rnacentral:snRNA from 1 species